AUUGAACGCUGGCGGCAGGCUUAACACAUGCAAGUCGGACGAGUGGCGAACGGGUGAGUAAUGCAUCGGAAACUACCUAGUGGAGGGGGAUAACUGCUGGAAACGGUAGCUAAUACCGCAUAUUAUUCGAUCGGCCGAUGUCUGAUUAGCUGGUUGGUUGGGUAAAGGCUCACCUAGGCGACGAUCAGUAGCUGGUCUGAGAGGAUGAUCCGCCACACUGGGACUGAGACACGGUCCAGACUCCUACGGGAGGCAGCAGUGGGGAAUUUUGGACAAUGGGCGCAAGCCUGAUCCAGCCAUGCCGCGUGUCUGAAGAAGGCCUUCGGGUUGUAAAGGACUUUCGUCAGGGAAGCGGUACCUGAAGAAUAAGCACCGGCUAACUACGUGCCAGCAGCCGCGGUAAUAC
rnacentral:rRNA from 1 species